AUCACAUUUUGUCCGGAGAAUCGGUCAUCCCUACAAAAGUAGAACACCUCCAAAACGGAAAAAGCCUCGCACUUCCUUUACUCGUCUGCAGAUCUGUGAACUUGAGAAAUGGUUUCAGAAACAUAAGUAUUUAGCAUCUAGUGAGAGAAGUUGCCUAGCUAAACAGUUGAAAAUGACAGACACUCAAGUUAAAACGUGGUUCCAAAAUAGAAGGACCAAGUGGAGGAGACAGACAGCAGAGGAAUAUGAGGCGGAGCGACAGGUGAAAAAUAAUCAGGUUAUGUUUAUGUGUGGGCAACAACAUCAUCAUUGUCAAGGUUCUUCUUACUUGAGCCUGGUCAACAAUGCCACUGCUCCAACCUCAGGGCCUUUUCUGCACCACAGUUGGAGAUGAGUGUCCUCUUCUUUCCAGCAACUCUCCUGUUUCGCUGUUGCACUCGCUGAUGAGCUCGCGAGUAAAAUGUACAGGUUAAAACAAAUUAUGGACUUUCCAUCAAUCGUGUCGUUAUUUUUCUAUCGCAAAAAUAUAUUGAUUUUACAAGA